GAAGGAGGAGGAGGAGGAAUAUAUGGUUGAAAGAGAAGGAGAGAGUGAGAGAGAAAGGGAAGUGAGAGAGGACAAGAGAAAGGAAGUGAAUAGAGGAAAGGAAAAUAAGAAAGGAAGGAAAGGAGAGAGAAACGAAGGAUAUGGAAGUGAAAGGAAGAGAAGGAGAGAAAAAAGGAAGGAAGGGAAGGGAGUGAAGGAAAAGGAGGAAGAAGGAAAAGAAAAGAGAUAAAAGUGACGGAUAUUGAGUGAAGGAAGACGAAAAGAAAGAGAAAAUAGAAAGAAAAAUAUAGAAGAGAGAGAAUAUAAAAGGAAACAAGAGAUUUAAUACAAGAAGAAAAGGAAAAAAAGAAAAAUAUAUGAUAAGAAAACAAAACGAGGAAAAGAAUGUGGAAAAGAAGGCAGUGAAUUUGAAACCUGAAAGGAAGAAGAAAAGAAAAGGAGAAAAAAAAACAGGAUAAAAAAAGAUUGUUAUAGAGGGAAGAAGUUAAGAUUAUGUCUGUCUGUCCUUCUGUCUAAAAAAUAAUGCCUGUCAAACUUAUAACGCCGAACCGCGCGGGCCUGAUCGUGUGCACAGCGGCGGUGGUGGUGGUUGUGACUGUUUCCUGCCUGUCUACGUUCACACAUGACUGUAAGCAAUACCACGUGACCCAAUCUCUCAACGGCCCCAUAGCCCAAGAUGACCCUGACCUCGUAGCCUGGGUCAGAGGUCAACUGGUGCCGCCCUCCCGCCUGCCCUACAACCUAAGCCUAUUCUUGAGCGGCCUACAUCAGGAGAGGGAUCUACAGGAGCGAGGGGGGGCGGGGGGGUCCUACAGCCCUUCGCAGGAGUACAUUUUGGGCAAGGUGGAGGAACUGUAUGGAGAGAAGAUAGUACGGCCCGGCACAUUCCUAGAGGCAGGGGCUUACGACGGCGAGUUUCUCUCCAACACCCUCUUUCUGGAGCACGAGUACAAUUGGCGGGGCUUGCUGGUGGAGGCGAACCCCGUUUUCUUCGACCAGCUCCUUCUCAAGCGGCGAAAGAGUUACGCCAUCAAUGUUUGUCUGAAUACGAAACCAUACC